GAUAUUGAUAUAACCAACGUUUGGAUAUGUCAGGAUUCUUCUAUUACCCUCGCAGCUAUGCACAAAACUUUACCCAAAGUUAUGGAUAUUGCGCCAAUCAAAAAUUUCCCCGAUAGAUAACACGCUAUGCAGUUUCGCUCCUCUUUUGUUUCCUCAUCAUUUGCGUUUUAUCCAUUUCUAACCUAACUGCGACCAAAAAUCUGAUAUCAUCCAGCGUUAUCCCUUGGGCUCUCACUCAUCUGCCGACAAAAGAGCAUCUGUGCGAACCGAUCCGUAAUGCUCCUGCAACCUGUUCACAAGUAGCUUGCCCUACGCCCAGCAUGAAUUCAUUAUCAGUCUAGUAUAAACAUAUUGCCUGUAUAUGAAUGGGGUGCUGUCAGUCAACAGAGCCGCCUUUCUGAUCGCAAAUGACGACGAAACCAGUUCGCAGAAGGAAAAACUCUAAGACAGUGCAUGUAAACCAUAAAAUGCAU